UAUUCUUUGUACACUGGAAUAACAGUUUUCUUGGUUGGGUCUAAACCGGACAAACCACUGACUGGCCAUUUAUUGCCCUCUUCUGCUCUGUGUGUUGCAACAUAUACAGAUCCAUUCCCUUCUAUCCUGUCAGAGACUUUGACAGCUCAGAGGAGAGCAAAACCUUUUUGCUACCAAAUUUUAAUCCACCCAGACACUGAACAAUAAUAGAUGAUGUGAAAGACUAUAGAGGAAAGAUAUUUGUGGAGUGGGCUCUGCUUGCAAAGAAUUCAUCAGUCAAUCAUCACAAUUAUGUAUCCCUUGCGUCAUGAAGAAGCACUAAAAUUGAUUUGGUCUUGGCAGGGAAAAUAUCUUUUAUCCAUAUCAGUUAGCUAAUUUAGGUCACCGUGAACGGGUAAUUAAUGCGCUGCUUUGUUGUAACAUGCUAUUAGGCUAUGUUGAUUUUAAGUAUAUUUGAUAAAGGAAUGCUACCGGAAUGGAUGCUUUGUUUCGUGAUUAGUGAAUUUGGUUGGUUGAGAUGUUGCCCUUCCAGGAUAUACAUGUGAGAAGCAGGAGCAAGCUGAAAGCUAAGCAAGCUGAAAGCUAAUCAAGCAGAAAGUUUGAUUAAUCCAGAAUGUCUUGACGAGGGUUCAAUGGUGGUGUCAAGAUCGGUGAAUAGAGUCUCUAUUAUCGUCCAUAAGCAAUUCUUAGAGGAAGAAAGAUGGACUUUCAAAAAAGACCUCACAAAUUAGAGAUUCAGAAGAACAUCUCAUGGAAUCUUGUGCUUUGACCUCGUGGAAAAGACCUUCAAAUUGCUCGGUUAAAAAAUUCCUCCGACCUUGCCACUUGAUUAUGACUUUAUUGGUGGCAAAUUGAUGAAAUCUGGCAGUCUGCCAUAGGUGCAUUUAUUGACAUUGCUGAUAUUGAUGGUUGUCAAUAAUGGACAUACAAUCACUAUCUUUGUGAUGAAUUUUUAUCCUCAUUUUUCUUUAGAUUUCUUAUAAUUUCGAUUCUGAGAGCAUUUGAAA